rnacentral:rRNA from 1 species
UACGUAGGGUGCGAGCGUUAAUCGGAAUUACUGGGCGUAAAGCGUGCGCAGGCGGUUUGCUAAGACCGAUGUGAAAUCCCCGGGCUUAACCUGGGAACUGCAUUGGUGACUGGCAGGCUAGAGUAUGGCAGAGGGGGGUAGAAUUCCACGUGUAGCAGUGAAAUGCGUAGAGAUGUGGAGGAAUACCGAUGGCGAAGGCAGCCUCCUGGGCCAACACUGACGCUCAUGCACGAAAGCGUGGGGAGCAAACAGG